GACGAACGCUGGCGGCAUGCUUAACACAUGCAAGUGGAGCGACGAACCUUUUAGGGGCAAAGCCGCGAACGGGUGAGUAACACGUGGGCAAUCUGCCCAGUUGACCGGGAUAACCCGAGGAAACUCGAGCUAAUACCGGAUGUGCCAUUCCCUCACAAGAGGGACUGGUAAAGGGAGCUUCGGCUAUCCGCAAUUGGAGGAGCCUGCGGCGCAUUAGCUAGUUGGUGGGGUAAAGGCCUACCAAGGCGACGAUGCGUAGCUGGUCUGAGAGGACGAUCAGCCACACUGGAACUGAGACACGGGUCCAGACUCCUACGGGUGGCUG
rnacentral:rRNA from 1 species